UUGUAUUCUUCGUGGUAUGACUUCUUUUUGAUAUCAGUCAUUUUAUAGCCUAUACAUGUCAAAUGAUUUGAAGCUUUGGUAUUCCUCCAACAGUAGACAUGGACUUUAAACGGUUUCAUUCCAAUACCGACCAGUAUUGCUUUCAAUCGGUAUUCCUCAAAAAGUUUCAUCGAUUAUUAUAUAUGACCACUAUUUUAUUUCUGUUGAUAUUCUAAGAUUUAGCAUUCCAAGUCAACUGCAGCUUCAAGGGGUUAUAUGCUCUCGAAGAGCAGGUACCAAUUUGGGUCACUAGGAAAUGGGAGAAGUUGGAAUUUAUGUUCACCAACAAAGUUACCAGUGUGGAUAUGGUUAUUCUCGAAGAGAAGCACACAGAAUGUUGCCUAUCAAUUAGCCAUGACAGCUUCAAGAGUUUGUGCUCCCUAGAUGAAGAGAAGUGAUGCUUCCUCAUAGUUAAGAGUCACGUAGGAAAUGGGAUUUUCAUGUGUCCCAACGACUUCACCAGCAUCAACAUGGUCAUGGUCGUCCAAAAGGUGUUUGCUAAACUUCGGUAUAAUAUGGUAGCUGAUUUACAGCUUACGAUUUUGAGCGUUGGACGAUUUAAUGGAGGUUCUUCAAUGUAUUCCACUGGAACUACAUAUACAGUAACAAUUUUGUAAAUGUACUCCAACCUUUAUUAAGGUCUAAAAUCGUUUUUUUUUUGUUGGUGCGGUAAUUUUUUUUAUAAAUGCUAUGGUAUUAACAUUCUUUCUUUAGGAAUUAGACGCAUGACGACGAACCAGAACUUGAAAACUCUUUCAGAACUGCCUAGAUACAUAACUACGAAGUCGGAGUGGGUACUACCGUACUACGGUACAACUUCAGUUCAGUCUAAUGUUGUUUAUCUUAUGAAAAUUUCUUUGAAGAUAACUUGGAAAUUAUUGAAGAUAGA